rnacentral:rRNA from 1 species
UACAGACGGUGCGAGCGUUAUUCAGCUUAAAUGGGUGUAAAGGGUACGUAGGCGGUUUAUUUUGAUAAGUAGAAAUUCUGGGGUCAUAACCGUAGAAGAUACUUUAAUGGCAAUGUAGACUAGGAGUAUAAAUCGAGGACUGAGGAAUUUCCACAGUAGUGGUAGAAUGCAGCGAGAGUGGAAGGACCGCCGUAGGUGAAGACGUCAUUCCAGGUUAUACUGACGCUGAGGUACGGAGGUUUGGGGAGCAAAUCGG